rnacentral:lncRNA from 1 species
CUGAAUCUAGUAUUACCGCCGAAGCUUAUACAUUCUUUGAACCCCAUUUCCUUUGGAAGAAUUCAAACCAAGUCUGGAAGGUUUCCCAUCUUUGCAGUUGAAGAUCAUUUGACCAUAGCAACGAGCAUGUGUGGAUCUGAACAUUACCUUCUCCUGUUAUAGCAUGAUGAGGACACCUUCUAUUGGAGGUCCUUCCUUUUUUACAGAUGGUGAAACCUUUCAAGGUCAUGCAUGUUUUAUUUAUUUAUUUAUUUAUUUUUAUUCUAUUGAUUUGUUGAGUUUUCGAUGUUGCACUGCAGUUUCGAUGUAUUUUAAUUUGGUGCACUCCUGCUCGGCGUCAUUUCGUUACCUCGGUUGUCUUUGAGUGUAAAAUCAGCAUUCAUUUGACCACAAUCAGGGACUCAAGUUUUAGGUUCUGCAACUAUGCUAACUCUUUUCACAUCUCUGUUUAAGGAAAUCCUCUUGUCUGCUGCAGCUUUGAUCAUCGACGAAAGAGAGCUCUUGUACUACUACUGCUGUUUUCACAAUUAUAAAUUGUAGCAAGUUCUUUUAUCAUAUCCAACACCAUGGUUGGUUGGCCAGUGUCGGGAAUUUUCACAUUUUGAUGGUGACCAGGAGCACCUUCGGGUCAUUUACAAUACGAAAUCUACACUGAAAGUAUAUGUGAAGGUAUCGCUGUAAUAGCUUAUUUUGGGUGAGUUUGUUUCUGGUUCAACAUCAACGACGUAUCUUUUUACAUUGUUUGAAAAGCACAUUAAUUGGGGAUAUGUGUUGGAUAAAACCACUUGGAAGUGAUUCACAAAUGUCCCACGUCUCGAUCAAGUCGAGAUUUCUCUUAAUUCUCCUCAACUGAAUUGGGUCAGUGGUCAUGAAAUUAUGUUGUGGAGGAAGAUCGCGCCUCGUUUUACUUGAAUUCCUCUGUUUAUUAUUUUAGUUCAAUAAUUUGCAUUUAUUUAUUUAUUUUUUAAACAAAAUUACGUUCAUAUUUUACUAGUUUGUUUGUUUGUUUCUU